rnacentral:lncRNA from 1 species
UUUGUUAUGUGCUCUAUUUCCAUUUCUUUUGUAAGUAGGUCAGUUGUUCUUGUGAAUAUCUCACCUUUAUCCUUCACUCNNNNNNNNNNNNNNNNNNNNNUUUCCUUUCUCCCUUAGAGCUGAUCAUGGCUGCAGGAAAAUUUGCAAGCUUUCCUAGAAACAUGUCGGUGAAUCACCAGUUCCCUCUGGCCUCCUCUAUGGACCUUCUGAGCAGCAAGUCCCCUCUCGUUGAGCAUCGCACAGAUGCCUAUCAAGACGUGUCUAUACAUGGCACCCUUCCACGGAAGAAAAAGGGCCCUCCUCCCAUAAGGUCCUGUAAUAACAUCAGUCAUAUGGGCACCCUCCCCCACUCCAAAUCCCCGUGGCAGAGCUCACCUCUGACCCAGGACAUCAUCCAGGAAAACCCACUGCAAGACUGGAAAGGUGAAAUCUUCACUUUCAGAGAUCCACAUCUUCUGGACCCAACUCUGGAAUAUGUGAAGUACACAGACCUUGAAGGACAGUGUGACCUACCACCUGGGCAACGCCAAAGGCUCAUCCAGCUCAGAAACCCAUUUGAAGCUGCCACCUCUAAAGCUUGCUUUGGGUUCUCAAGUGGACCUCACAGGGCCCAGGAGUUCCCGAGACAGCAAACCCAACCUCCAAAGAGGAGUGACGAAAGAGCCAGCUGAAGGAGUUGAAGGGCAGUCAGCUCCCCUGGUUGUUCCCAUGGUCACCGACUGUCCACAGCUCCAUGCCCAUCUUUAUUAGGGCGUCUGUAUUCACUGAGUCAGUCAGUGGGUGUGAGGCCUGUGGCUCUCCAGUCCCUCAUUUCAAGCACAGGAGUGUUCAUCGGGCACUGAACAAACAAUUCCCUGUCUUCAUAGGCAGACUUGACCUAGUCCAAAGGCC